UUUAAGAUGGCCGAGUUGGUCUAAGGCGCCAGUUUUAGGCAUUGGUCCGAAAGGGCUUGGGUUCGAAUCCUUCUUUGGAUG
rnacentral:tRNA from 1 species